rnacentral:rRNA from 1 species
GACGGAGGGCGCAAACGUUGUUCGGAAUCACUGGGCGUAAAGGGCGCGUAGGCGGGACUGUAAGUCCGAGGUGAAAACCCGGGGCUCAACCCCGGGACUGCCUUGGAAACUGCAGUCCUCGAGUGCAGGAGAGGAAGGCGGAAUUCCAGGUGUAGCGGUGGAAUGCGUAGAUAUCUGGAGGAAUACCGGUGGCGAAGGCGGCAUCCUGGACCGGCAUUGACGCUGAGGAGCGAAAGCCAGGGGAGCAAACGGG